GCUGUUCGCGCGCCAACGCUUCGACUAAGCCCGUAUAAGCAGGAUCACCAGGCUUGCAGAAUAUUAUGCAUUCCGUGCAGCCGCCACCACAUGCGCUUACUCGCGAGAAGGAAGAACCACCCGAGCCCGUGAUUCCAGACGGCGCCGUCUACCUCAUCGGGGGCUUUGUCCUAUGCCUGGUCGUCGGAAGCCUGCUCUUCAUGGCUUACGUCAUGAUAUCGGAGAGCGCGGCAGUUGGGGGAGCACAGAAGUGAUCAGCACACACUUCUCAUCUUCACACACAUUUGAAGAAAGCAACGUCAAGCGAGCAAGUCCACUUUCUGAGUAGCGCUUCAUGGCUGCAUCUUUCUGCCUACUCCAUCAAGCAUCAACUUUCAUGAUUUACUUGACUAUACCAUGCGGUGCGCUGUACCUGCGUGUUGUACUGCUCUUUUCAUGUCUUUGAACAGCACUUCCUGCUGCCUCAAAGGACUUGCAUGUCACUUAGUGCAUAUUGUGACUGGACAAAGCAUCUCGAGACAUUCAUCCACAAAGAUGCUAGAGCAAGAACUCGGCAUUUUCGCUUGUUCUUUGCUGACAAGGACAUUGUUUAUUUGGGCAUUCAGGUACUUUGUACAAAAAUAAAGAUACGAGAUAUAAGGGGUGUAAGAGACA
rnacentral:lncRNA from 1 species